CUGGUACUUCCUCCGUUCCAAAUUACUCGUCGCUGAAAUGGAUGUAUCUAGAACUAAAAUACAUCUAGAUACAUCCAUACGUGCGACAAGUAAUUCGGAACGGAGGGAGUACUUA
rnacentral:pre_miRNA from 1 species